UUGUAUGCAUGUUUUUUUUUUGUUUUCUUCAACUUAUGAUUUAUGGCCGCCAAUAGCAUUUGUUUCCAUCCAAGCCUCGAAUGCAUCUUCUAAUCCUUUUCUAGCAGAUGUUAUAAACUAUCAAACUGAGUAUUUAACUUUUUGCUACAGAUAAGAUGAUGUGGGAAAUUAGCAGGAACAUGCUGCAAAAACAUUCAUAAAUACAACAGUAUACGUUAAAUUAACACUCAAAAUUAAAUACAAAUAAAUGGAUAAUAAUUUCACAAUAAAAUUUAGAGUGAAUACCCCAUCCGGCCCCUAACAAUUAUCUCAAAAGGACAACGAGGCCCCCAAGAAAAAAAACACCCAACCCGGCCCCUGAUCUUUUUUUUGGGACUGAUUAGCCCCUGU